UACAGAGGGGGCAAGCGUUGUCCGGAAUUACUGGGCGUAAAGCGUGCGCAGGCGGUUCGUUGUGUCGGCGGUGAAAGCCCCGGGCUUAACCUGGGAAUGGCCGUCGAAACUGGCGAACUGGAGUGUGGCAGAGGGGGGUGGAAUUCCGCGUGUAGCAGUGAAAUGCGUAGAGAUGCGGAGGAACACCGAUGGCGAAGGCAGCCCCCUGGGCUGACACUGACGCUCAGGCACGAAAGCGUGGGGAGCAAACAGG
rnacentral:rRNA from 1 species